UGACCCGACCCGACAGUAAAGGGAAGAAGAAGAAGACGUCACUGCGAAGUGAAAAACGAAGCGCGCUCUCUCCCCUCUCUCAUUCGACCUGCUGCAGAGCUCCUUCUCAGUCGUGUACUUGUCGUUGAAAAGCUCCACUGAAGAUGUCGGACGAGGGUAAAUUGUUCAUCGGAGGACUGAAUUUUGAGACCAACGAGGAGACUCUGGCCGCGGCCUUCGGCAAAUAUGGAACCAUCGAAAAAGUGGAUGUAAUCAGAGACAAAGAGACCGGGAAAUCUCGCGGGUUCGGCUUCGUGAAGUACGAUAACAUCGAGGAUGCGAAGGAUGCAAUGAACGGAAUGAACGGAAAGUCUGUUGAUGGCCGUCAGAUUCGCGUGGAUGCAGCUGGAAAGAGUGGACGCGCCAGGGGAACUUUCCAGGGACAAGGACGUGGUGGAAGAUUCAGCGGAUCACGGGGUAGAGGAUACAAUGGAGACAGAAGUUAUGAAAGAUACGACAGAGGCUACAGCGAUAGGGGCUUUGGUUCAGAGAGGAACUUUGGUGGUGGAAGUGGCGGCGGCGGCGGCGGUGGAUACAGGAGUGGAGGAUACAGUGGUGGAAGUGGUGGCGGCGGCAGCUACAGAGAAAAUAGGACUAAUCAGUCUUCUGGCUAUGAACGUGGAAAUUACCGCGAUUAUGAUGCCUAUGGUAAGCUUGACUAAUAUUCUUCUAUACAUUGAAUGUAGGCUUAUGUUGGGGCUGUCUUCACAUUUUCACAGAUUAACCUGCAUUCAGACAAUGAUUAACUUUAAUUCUCAAAUUAAAAAAUUACAAUGAAAAUUGUGUUCUUUAAUAUUCAUUAGACUCACUAAAUCACACUAGGCAUCAUAUAAAGAGUAACAAACUAUCAUACAGCCCCAACAUGAGAUCAUGUUAUAAUAUAUGCCCCUCAGUUUUGUACCUGAGCCUAAGCUGAUGCCUUUCUAUGUCCGUUGCCAAAAUUAUCAGCCCCUCCCCCCUCCUCUGACCAUUUGAGCUGUUGAUGAAACCUUCUUAAUCGGAUAUAUCUCGUAUCUAAGCUGAUGGAGCCCCUAAAACAAAUUGAGGGAGGGUUUUUGGACUGUCUGGUGGGUUGAGGGGAUGUUGUGAAACUCCAGAACUUUCAGUGUCUUUACCUGUGUGCCCACUUCUUAUCCUCAGCUACACAAGAGUAAACAUCUCCCUGAUUCAAGAUCAUCACUUGGCUGGCUGUAUUUCAAAGAUGCGCUCCUCAAGAAAAAUGUCCACGUGUUAUUGCUGACCUUAGUUUUGUAGUUCUGUUGUAGUAGCUCAAGCAUCUUAAAAAAAUAUGUAGCCAUGAGUUUUGGUCAUUCCUAAACAAACCAUGUUACAAAGUACAGUUCCAGACUCUUAUCUUGCUUGAUUGGGCAUCUUAAUUCCUCAAAGCUCGUUUGUUAACUAAAAGGCAUCUGUGUAAUCUGAUUAGUACUUCAAGUCCCAAUCAGGGGAUCAAACAGCUCUCCAAGUGGCUUUCGUUGAUCAGCCACUACCACUGCUGUAGACAUUUUGUCCAGCACAUUAGUGUCUCCUGAUUUUGAUUCCUUGGUAACCUUUUUUCUUUUUUUUUUUUUUUUCCUUCAUUUUUCUUUUUUUUUGACUGAAAUAUCCGAUGGGGCUAGAUUUGUUUGUUCCCUUUCCCCUGUCAGUCUCUGACUGGACUACCUCUUGCCAGGUUUUAAACUGAGUGACGAUAAGAGCUUAAAUUGCUCAAAUGGGAAUUUGGGGGAUUUUUUUUUUAAACUAAAAGCUUACUAUAGCUGAGGCUCCUGUGUGUUCAAUUUCCCAAAAGAGUGAAUUCCUUUCAGACUGGUGAACUACACAUCCGAAGUGGCCGGCUGUUCAUGAAGUCUGUCCAAGGUAUCUUCUGUGCUCUGCUCAACAUCUGCAUUUUAAAUGUGCUGUAAAAUGGACUAAUCUUGUUUAAGUGAUCGAAAAUGUAACUACGUUUCCACAAAGUAAUAAUUCAACCGGGAAAAGUUUUGUACUUUAUGUUCUUUGUAUGAUCAAUAUAUUUUUUUCUUUGUCAGUUUGGCUUCAUGGAGCCUAUUAAACAGAAUGUGGAAAAUAAUCUCGAUUCCUUUGCAUUUCAAAACUUAUCGCAUGGGGGAGUCUAAACUGCGACAGGACCAAGUCACUGUAGUUGGGAUAGUAUUAAGAAAAAAAGGGGGGUAAUCUGAAAUUGGGUUUAUUCUAAAGGUUCCACCAAGUUUAAGAAGCCGUCUGACUGGUUCUCUUGGAUAGUAAACUGAUGGUUUUUGGGCCAGUGAAUCCUGUCCAGGUCUAAAAACUGUAAUGUGUUUUGAUCAAACCCCCGGUGAGGUUUGAGUAAUGAGCCUCUGCAGUGGCACAAGAAUAAUACAGCUGGUGUCUGGUCAUGUUAAUGCUUCAUUACGUUCAAGAGGUCAGCUACUUCAAAAACCUACAAGUCCUUGGAGAGUGAAGUGUUGCGCCUACCAACAAGUGCUCAUCAGAGAUGAAAGCUGCUCUUGCCUAGGUCAUAUGUGGAGAAAAUAGUCCAAUGCACGUGAGGUAAAAAUCUCCUUUUGCUUUGCUCACAUCCUUCCAACUCAGUUCUCAUUGUUUCCAUGAAUGCCUUCAAGUUAGUCGUGUGUAGAACUCUGCUGCAGAUGUCGCCUAAAACAUGCCAUGGCCUCUUCCCCAAAUUGUGAUUCAUAAAGUCCAUUGAGAAAAUGUCCCAAUGAAGCCCCUCUGGAUUGUAGUGCUCCACCUGAGUCCACCACGCAAAAAGCAGCCUCUUAAGUCGUGGGUAGUUACAUGCUCAGUCCACCUCUGCUCACAGCACUAGUCGUCAGAUUUGCUCCAGUAAUGUAUCACAACAGUCCUUAUUGAUGUAAAGACUGUACUUAGUUUCUCUUUGUAUCCUUACACAUGAUUCAGCGGUGAGUUUCAGACACUCUAAAUAGGGUUGCAUGCAUUUUGUGUUGAUUUUUCUUGUGCCUGAUGUGGUUUGCAAGGCUUAAUCCAUAUCUUUGUUUCUCUUUAGAGUAAAGUGACUGUGGGAGGCGUCACUGGAUCAACCUGAGGGUGAAGUGUGCAGCUUGAGACUUCGGUCAUCUAAGCAGACAGCAGGUCCGAUGUGCGGCAGCUGUAAGCAACAGCAACAUGGGAGGAGCCUGCCAGGAUCCUGCAAACUGUAAAGCUGGGGCUUUAUUCUUUGAUAAAAUCAAAGUAUGGAGAAGUCAGUCAGCCCCAAUAGCUAAACAGUCAUCUCUGGUCACUUGGUGUGUACUGAGGGGGCCUUCCUUACCAAUGGGCCUUACUAAAACAGCAUUUUGCUGGUUUAUUAUUUUGUAUUACAAUAAAACAAAUAAAACCUUA